rnacentral:rRNA from 1 species
UACGUAGGGUGCAAGCGUUAUCCGGAUUCACUGGGCUUAAAGGGUGCGUAGGUGGGCAGGUAAGUCAGUGGUGAAAUCCUUGAGCUUAACUCGAGAACUGCCAUUGAUACUAUCUGUCUUGAAUGUUGUGGAGGUGAGCGGAAUAUGUCAUGUAGCGGUGAAAUGCUUAGAUAUGACAUAGAACAUCCAUUGCGAAGGCAGCUCACUACGCAAAUAUUGACACUGAGGCACGAAAGCGUGGGGAUCAAACAGG